UACGUAGGGUGCAAGCGUUGUCCGGAAUUAUUGGGCGUAAAGAGCUCGUAGGCGGUCUGUCGCGUCGGCUGUGAAAUCCCGAGGCUCAACCUCGGGUCUGCAGUCGAUACGGGCAAACUAGAGUAUUGCAGGGGAGACUGGAAUUCCUGGUGUAGCGGUGAAAUGCGCAGAUAUCAGGAAGAACACCCGUGGCUAAGGCGGCUCUCUAGUACGGUACUGACGCUGAGACGCGAAAGCGUGGGGAGCGAACAGG
rnacentral:rRNA from 1 species